ACCAGUCAUCAGUGGUGGUUCUGGUUUAAAGUCUAACAGCUCUUCAUGCAGUCUGCUGUGACUGCCCUGAGCCAGUAUCACUGUUGGUAACACCCUGAGCUGUGUCUCCUCUCCAGCACCAAUCUGAUCGACUUCUCCACCGAAGAUGGGUCCAGUUGAUGAUGUCAUACGGCUGUGCUGUUAUUUAAUCC